CAAUGACAUCAGCCUCUGUCUUUUUUCCGCUUUUAAUUAAUGUUCUGGAAAGAUGGGGCUGGGGAGGUUGUGAGCAUGGGGAGGGGGCGGGCUGGCGGGUGGAGUGGAACCCGCAGGCCUCUCUGCUCCAGCGGUCAGCUGAGCGCCGGCGCACAGACAUCCUUUGAUUAAGGAGGGUAUUUCGGGGAGUGCAGGCUGUGCAGAAGAUCACGGCUGUGCCCUGUGGUGCUGUCAGCAGUGACAGAUCCCAGAUGGGGCCGCUACUGUGUGGCAGAUUGAGUUUCUCAACAGAAAACUCACCCUUCCUCCUAAACGUCUUCAAAAACCUUCUCCGGAUACUCCAUCUAUCCAGGUCUCGUCGUCGUUUAAAAUAGAAACAGUCCAACCCCGAAGUUGGUUUUGACUGCGUGCCUGUACGCUAGGUUUAUUUUUUUUUUCUCUCCCUUCCUCUUUUGCUCUGUACUUCCUUCUCCUUUUUGCAUCUUCCACUCGCGAGGGCCACUCAUAGCAUAGAUGCGGUGGGUCUUGAGGAUUCCUGUUCACCAGGUUCAGGGCACCAGGUGGCCGAAUCAGCACUGAGGGGCCCCCAAAGGCAAGGCAAUUCGGUGGGUAGAAGCUCGAUGCGGGAUGAGUCUGUGGCGCGUUAGGGGAAGUCAAGGUGGACCCCGUGAGUCACACACUCUGGAACAGAGAAGCGGGGGUGGGGGUGGGGGGGGAGAUAAAGGAGGAAUCUGAAGGUACCUUGUCCCUGCUCCAGACGGCCUGGCUCUUUGGGGAGGCGGCCCGAAGUCCAAGAUAAGGGAGGCUGGCUCUUACCGCUGUGGUAGGAGUCUGUUGGGGAUAGGUGAGAGUCUGUAGGAACCAAGUACCCUUAGGAAGAGGGAGAGAGCUGCGGGGAUCCGAGCUGCGAUCUGAGCGACCUGAGCAGUGAGACCGGACUCGGGCCUUCUGAAGGACUCUGUGGGUCGCCUUCCCAUUGAAACCCCGGGACCGGAGAAGUAAUGGUCUUGAUGGAAAUCUGGGGCAAAAAACUGGGAGCCUCUAGCCCCCUCCGCACCGCGGCGGAGUCGGAACCCGGAGCUCUUCUGCAUAACGUCAGCUUGCCGGAUUGGAUUCCCAGAGAGACUCCAACUGUCUGGAAACUAAAAACCGAGACCACCAAGAGGGAAAUUUAAAGGAAAGCAAGAAACCAUGGAGAGAGGGACCGGCAACGGGAAAAAUUGUCCACCACUUUUGAAGGACGUGUGGAAUUUUGCAUAGUUCCCACAACACAUUCUGACUUUUCUCUAUGUACUUCCUAGAACCCAUUUUCCGUGUUCGUAUUUUGAAGAUUUUUGUUUUGUUUGCAUAUUCCUGUAAGUUGUACCGGUUGGCAGUAGAAGGGAAAAUCUGCAGCCGAGCGCAGACUUGGGUGGGGAACGAAAGCCCUGGCGGCGCCCUGGGUCCAAUCUAAGGCACUCCCCUCCUGGCUACCGCAGGAGCAGGCUGAGACGCCGCCCGCCUUUCCGAGCCUGAGCCCCUGGGCUGCUGGCCAUGGGAGUAAUCUGGGCCAGAGUGAUCGUACUGCAUUUAUUAACGACCAGAGAGAUUUCUUAAGCCAAGUCCCCAAAGAAAGGGAUCCAAAUGAGUAAAACAGUUGCAGCUCUGGCUGUGGCCAAGGCAGCGAGUCGGGGAAUCCCGACAGUAUUGCUGCUUCAUAGACAUCUCCUGGGUGUAGGACAAGUGAUGGUCCUUGGUGGGCUCCGUGCUCUAGGACUCCGGCGUGCGCGGCUGGAAGGUAAUUAUUUGAACGACUAAACUAUGCUACAACCGGCUGUGGAAAUUUGAAGACAUUUCUGGUAUACUUCAGAAAACAUUACUGCGCUUUUUUUUUUCUUCCGUAGCAGAUUUAGUGUCUCUCCUUUACUAAUAAUGACACUGUCUUAAAAGUCCUAGAUGGGUGGACAGAUUCGCCGUUCCUGUAGAACUGGAAACCUCUGUAAGAGCCUGAGUGACAAUCGAUGGAUGCAAUCAGGUGUUGUACACUUUGGUUUCUGAACUGAAUUAUGGCCUCUUAGACUCUGCAUUUACAAAACCGGAACCUUAAAGUGCCAUCUCGGGACUGUCAGCUAUCCUCACCACUGUGCGGUUCCUUCAAGUCUUCAGGGAAAAUCUAGAAUCUCGUAUUAGGGUGUAGUCUGUAGUUCGCCUUGCCUUCCCCAUCCUGCGACCCUUGGCUAAGAAUUUUAGUCCUUCCCUGGGAUCUCACUAGCGUCUUCUCAAACAUGCCUCCAAAUACAUUUUCCCAACCUUAUGGGGCAAGGUUUGGUUUCAAAGAAGUCCACGUUCUGCUCCCCUACCCCAGCCCAGGCAAGGGAGGGGCACGGAUUUCUCUUCCAUGCCUGUCUUUUAGGUUAGUCGCAAAUGCAUGACUAGAGAAUCUGAGAUUGAGAGAGGUCUGGAGUUGUGUUGGCCACAGGAUUCAAAUUGUGAAUAUACCUGUGGUCUUGGCCCUUCGAGAGCCUGGGCUGCUCCUAGAAACGAAGGCCAAGUGGCAACACCUGGGUCAGACAGAGCUCGGCCUCCCCUCCCCCAGCCCUCGCUGGGUGGGAAGAGUUUAAAGCCACAGGUAUUGCGCCCUUUUGAUGCUUCAUAAAAAGACCUUCUUUGAACACCAGGCGUCCUUUUUACUUAUUUAUUUUUUUCUCGGUAAGGAAAGUAAACAUCUUGCUUAUAUUUCCAUAGUGGUCAGGCUCUAAUUAUGCAUGAUUCCAGCAACAUGACUGCCGCAGCCGGAAGGCGCCGGCCUCAGAAGAUGCCUGGAACUUCACAUAGAUUUUUUUCUUUUUUUUUUUUUUUUUUUUUUUUUUUUUUUUUUUUUUUUUUUUUAGUUUAGACCGUUUGUGGAGGGUCAAGAACUGUGGUUGGAAAGGGGAUAGCCAGGAUUCCCCAAUUUGAAAAACAAAAAGCAAGCAAGCAAGCAAACAAACAAACAAAAACCCGUCUUAGUGAUACUAGCAAGCGAGUGAGAAGGCAACCAUCAGUGAGCUUGCCUCUGCCUCUGAGAUGAAGGCGGUCUCUGCCUCAAGGACAGCUCGCUCGACCGUGUCUGGUCAGCACCACCAUUCAACCAGGACUCAGUAAAAUCUACUGAACAUGUGAGACACGAAGAGAGUGCAGAAAGGAACCAGGCAAUGGAACAUCGGAAAACAUCUUUCUGCUCACGUGACCUUUACUGCAUGCAGUUCGGGAAGUUAUCUAAAGGGCUGCCAAAAACUUCUGACUGCAUUGCUCCAAAUGUGACUGUUUCUCAUACCUCACCACCCGCUAUGGAGUCUGCUGACUUGGGGAAAUUCAGAUUUCCUAGUCUCUUUCUAGCUUCUACCCCCACCCGACGGUUUGCAUUUGGAGAUGAUUUACCUUUCUUCAAUUCACCAGACCCUGUGGUUCCCAUGCUUACCUGAGCUGGUGGAUUUCCAAAUCUCCUUCUGCACAGGCAGAGCCAGGUUGAGGAAAGGUCAAAAAAGGAAGCCAGGCCUGAAGCCCAGGCAUACAGUAUUGUAUUCGGGGCAUGCCUUUGAUUCGUUCCAGAAAAAAAAAUAACUUGAAUGGGUACCCCUCUCCUAUCCCCCUCCCAUCCUUCCACAAACUCACUAAUUUCCAGGCCUGAGCCAGUCUCAUGCACUGGGAACCUGACCUUGUUUCCCUAAAGGGCCUGACAAAGGUCAGAAUACACACUAGUCGGCUACCACAAUAAUCCUGGUUGAAGUUCUACGGGAGAAGGAAUGAUUAUUGUUAUUGUGGAGGGAAGAGAAGCAAAGACCCCCUCAGUGCCCUCAACUUUUGUGCACUUCAUUUCAUGGCCACUUAAAAGACUGAGAUUAUCUCAGGAGGACCCUCUCCUGAAUACCAGCUGAAUACCAGCUGAAUACCAGUUCUUCCUGAGUAACCCACAUCUAGAUAUAUAUAUAUACUCGGAGGGACCGGCUCAGGCUGACAGGACAUUAUUGUGACCCCUGUGCGUCUUUCCUGACCCCUAGAGGCCAGAGUGAGCAGGGCCCAUGGACCCAAGUCCAAGCAUAAUACAAAUGUCUAGGAAAGGAGGCACUUCUUCAGAGGCCUGUGUAGAGAAAGACCAUUCAUCUUGGGCCCAGUGAAUUUACUCUGUCAAGACAGUCCAAGAUCUGCCUCAGCGAGGAGGGAGCAUCUACAGGAAGGUUGAGACAGGGACUGGCUAUGCAGCUGGGGCAGGAUAUGCCCAAGAGCAGAAAGCACAUUAGCGCUGGAUUAAAGGAUGUCCUGAUGUCACCCACCAGGAUAGUUUUGUGCCAGCAUGGUUAACAAGCCCUUUGAGAGCCAAGUCCUUCACUAUAUGCCACAAUCCAACCACAACGCUGAGGCUAAGCAGAGUGAUGCACACAUCCCGGAAGUGCUUGCUGAGACCCGGAAGCACCUGGGGCUGGCUGCCCUCUUCUCUAGGAGACCUAGGCUGCCCCUGUGUGUAAAGUCGUUUGUGGUCCCCUGCUGCUCCUGUCCCACCCACUUUUGGAAUAUACACUGGCUGAUAGAGGGAACGGAAUGGGCAGGUCCCCGGAGCAACCACGAGGAGAGUCACUCUUUGGUUUUAGUAAGCUGCAGUUCUGCCCUGCCGUGGCAUAGAAGGAUGCCAAUGGAGAGAAGAAUUUAUAACAGGAGCCCGAUGACUAAAAAACUCACUGUACAUUAUAGAAUAGAUGUACUAGAGAUAUUUGGUUGGGAUUUAUAAUUCCACACAUAAUAAAACGUCCCCUAUACUUCCCCCCUCUGUGUCCCUCUGCGGGAAACUCCCUGUGAUCCGGGAUGGGCGUGAGACUUGGGCGUGCAGAACCUGGGGCGCAUCCCUCAGCUCGCGGAGGAGCCGGGUUCGCGGGGCGACUGGCGGGCCUUGUGACCUGCCUCCGUGCCGCUGUAAGACAAAUGUUUCAGAUCCAACCUGAGCUGCUUUCCGCAGCACAGGAAACAUCUGGGAAGUUUUCUCCCGGCGUUUGGGAAAGUACUUUCUUCUGAACUUGGCGCUAAGGUGUCCUAGGACCCAGACAAACCUGGGUCUGAAGACGGGGUGCAGAGGUUGGCAGCCUUGCAAGCUGCCUGGGUGAAAACUGGGAGACUAACUGGUGGCAGGCACUUGGGUGAAGGACGAAUUAAACACUUAGUCCCGCGUCUGCGCCUUCUGGCCUCAUUGUUUUAACGUCUGUACUACUUAGCCACAGUUUGAGAAAGAAUAAUGCUUUUACAUUCAGAAAA
rnacentral:lncRNA from 1 species